GAUGAAGAACGUAGCGAAAGGCGAUAAGUAAUGUGAAUUGCAGAAUUCAGUGAAUCAUCGAAUCUUUGAACGCAUCUUGCGCUCCUUGGUAUUCUGAGGAGCAUGCCUGUUUGAGUGUCAUUAAGUUCUCAACUACACUGACUUUGAAUUGGUGUGGCUUGGAUUUGGGGGGAAAAUUGUUGUGGGCUUUUUGUAUAGUCUGCUCCCCUGAAAUUGAUUAGCGGUACCUUUGUGGAACUGUCUACAGGUGUGAUAAUUAUCUACAUCUUAGACAUCUGCUGGAAUGCUGCUUUCUAAACCUUACUUGUAUUGACAAUCUUGACCUCAAAUCAGGUAGGACUACCCGCUGAACUUAAGCAUAUCAAUAAGCGGAGGA
rnacentral:misc_RNA from 1 species